rnacentral:lncRNA from 1 species
UUUGACAUGUGUAUUGGAGUUAGGGCACCAAAUUGGGGCUUUUGCUCAUGGGAAUUUCUAAGUGCAAUUGACUCUCUAAAAACCUAAUUGGGGGUAUUUCCGACGCGUUGGUGUGCUCGAAUUAACGUUACGAAAAGCCGAUGAAAAGAUAUGAGCAAAAUGACCUAUUAGUGUGAGCCAAAGAACUAAAGUGAUGUAAAGAAUGAUGAAAAUGACAAUGUGUAAAGUUAAAGUAAAGUGGGGCAAUAAGAACGAGGAAUGUAACGAACAAGAAUGCUAGAGCUAGCAGAAGUAAAGAUAUGUAAAGGAUGUGAUUGCAUGAGUUUGCAACAUAAAGUAAUGUAAUGAACACUAGAGCUAGUGUAAAGUCAAGAUUGAACUUAUAAAUCCUUUGAGUUAAGGAUAUGAUCAU